rnacentral:rRNA from 1 species
CAGCAGCCGCGGGAAUACGUAGGUGGCAAGCGUUGACCGGAAUUAUUGGGCGUAAAGGGCUCGCAGGCGGUUUCUUAAGUCUGAUGUGAAAGCCCCCGGCUCAACCGGGGAGGGUCAUUGAAAACUGGGAAACUUGAGUGCAGAAGAGGAGAGUGGAAUUCCACGUGUAGCGGUGAAAUGCGUAGAGAUGUGGAGGAACACCAGUGGCGAAGGCGACUCUCUGGUCUGUAACUGACGCUGAGGAGCGAAAGCGUGGGGAGCGAACAGGAUUAGAGACCCCCGUAGUCCCUGUCUCUUAUAU